UUUACGGGCCCGGCAGGAGCGGCGGGGGGCGGAGAGCGGCUCGGGGCCGCGGCGUGUGCCCGAGGGGCCGGCGGGGAGCCCCGCUAGGCGGCCGGCACGGCGCGGCUCCGCUCAGCUGCAAACAUCUGUGCAGAGCUGAUGAGCUUGUGUUACCUUGAAAGGUCUCCUGGGAAAAGUCAAACGGCAAUAACCUCUCCUGUACCUCCCAGGGAAUCUUCUGAUUGUUUGGGGCUUACCCAGGAAUCCUUCCUGAUCCCCAGGACAGAAGGGACACUUUUGCCUGGUAGAAUGGAUGAACAGCCACAGGGCAUGCAGGGGCCCACUGCUCCGCCCUUUCAGCCACAGAAAGCCUUGCGACCUGACAUGGGCUAUAAUACCCUUGCCAAUUUCCGAAUAGAGAAGAAGAUUGGUCGUGGACAGUUCAGUGAAGUUUACAGAGCAACCUGUCUGUUGGAUGGGGUACCAGUAGCACUGAAGAAGGUUCAGAUAUUUGAUUUAAUGGAUGCCAAAGCCCGUGCUGACUGCAUCAAAGAAAUAGAUCUUCUAAAGCAACUGAAUCAUCCAAAUGUAAUUAAAUACUAUGCGUCAUUCAUUGAGGACAAUGAACUGAACAUAGUCUUGGAAUUAGCUGAUGCUGGAGAUCUUUCUAGAAUGAUAAAGCAUUUUAAGAAACAGAAGAGGUUGAUUCCUGAGAGAACAGUUUGGAAGUACUUUGUUCAGCUUUGCAGUGCAUUGGAACAUAUGCAUUCUCGUCGUGUUAUGCAUAGAGAUAUAAAGCCAGCUAAUGUGUUCAUUACAGCUACAGGGGUAGUAAAGCUUGGAGACCUUGGACUUGGACGAUUUUUCAGUUCCAAAACCACAGCUGCUCACUCCUUAGUUGGUACACCUUAUUAUAUGUCUCCAGAGAGAAUACACGAAAACGGUUACAACUUCAAAUCUGACAUCUGGUCUCUAGGCUGUCUGCUGUAUGAGCUUGCAUUUUUAAUAUUCUGUUUAAGAUGGCUGCACUGCAGAGUCCCUUCUAUGGUGAUAAAAUGAACUUGUACUCCCUGUGCAAGAAGAUAGAACAGUGUGACUAUCCACCUCUCCCUUCAGAUCACUAUUCAGAGGAAUUGCGACAAUUAGUUAAUAUGUGCAUCAACCCGGAUCCAGAGAAGCGACCAGACAUAACCUAUGUCUACGAUGUAGCGAAACGUAUGCAUGCACACACUGCGAGCAGCUAAACAGGCAUCAGAUCAUGAAGAGCAGAAAUAUUCAAGUAUUUUAAAUAAAUCAUCCCACCUCUUUGUUUGUGUUACAGAAAUGUAAUUAUUUGAAGCUUACUAUUGUGCUUUGUAAACCAAUUUAUAUACAAGCUGUCAUUUUUUUUUUAUUAUUAUUUUUAAGCAAUUUGCAGUUUUAAGAGGUUUAAAUAUGUAAAGCAUAACUUUAAAAGAUACAAAGAACCACUUUUUUCCAUGUUAAGUGGGUUCAAGUGUAUUUUCUUUACUAACUAAAUUUCAUUCAGUUGGGCCUCAGUUCUAAAACACAAUUGCACUUUUGCACAAGAUACAGAUAUUAGGCUUAUUAUCUAAAAGCAAAAUGUCUGAAUCUCUCACCUUUUUAGUAAUUUAUAGAAAGUAUGAAUCAGCACAGUUAAGUUUAUUUUAAUCUUUGUUCUAAAAGGGAUAUAAUUAUUAUAUAAGGUUAUUGUAUUUUAUACUGAGUUGUAGUUUGUAGUUCUCAGCUUAAGAGGAGACGGACGAUAUGAUGGGAAAAUGGUUAUUGGAAAAAGCCUUACACUGAAGUUUUUGUAACAACCUUUUUCCUUUUGUUAUUCUGUCGUAAUGCACAUAAAACAUUUGUUGGAGGUUUUAUGGGAAAAUUUAAGGUGUUGAUUCUGCAAUUUGAUCAUUUUCAAUAGCCUUGUGCCGCACUGCCCUGGGGCAAUACUAGUCUGCAUAGUUAAGUCUUAAAACCAUGCAGAUGCUUCUUGUAGCAAAUAGCGUUCUUUUGAGGCUAGUAUAUAUGACAAGAUCUGAUUAAAAGAUGUGAUCAUUUAAGUUACAUCUUCCUGACUAUUUAUGUAUAUGUCACGGUUUGUAGAUUUUUUGUAUUUAAAAUGAUUUGAAUGACCUUACAGUACUAUAUUUAAAUGGAAAGAUGCUUUUUAAAUACUGAAGCCUUUGGGAAAAGAUAUAGUUGUGUACUAUAACACAAAAUAUAUUCUUCAUGAAGAUCUGAUUUUGUAUAUUGAAUCCUGAGAAGUAGUUUUAUAUCUAGCAAAAGUAAAUUUUAGCUUCUGUGUUUAAGAGAAAGUCACCGUUUUCAUCUGGGAAAUAAGUAUUUAUGCAAAAUGUCUUACAAGUAUUUUAGUAUUGAAAAGGAGAUUCACAGUAUUUUGGUUAAACCUUAAUGCAUUGCGGGGUAUGUUUAAUGUUUUUAAUGUUAAGGGGAAAAGGGUGUCUUCUUUCUAAAUAUGAUAAAAAUGGAGAAUGGUCUGAAAUUUCUUGAGUUUCAAGACUGAAUUUUUUUGAGAAUAUAUAAAACUGUCAAAAUUAUUACCAGUGAGCUUGCUAAGAAGCUGUUACAGUCAGUUAAACAUUUUCCUCUUAUAGGUAAAAGAAGUCAGUUUAAAGAAGAUCAGCAGUAUGUACAUUCACACAUUGCUUCUGUAUGCAGCCAGUUCCCUGUGCACUUUUUUUUUCACUGUGCAACUUUAAAUUUUUUGAUCUAUUGUAAUGCUCAAGGAAUCCGGCUACGGAGAAUGUACUCAUGUACAUUCUGAGUUAGGUCAGUUGUAUUAUUAUUACUUUUUUUUUGAAUUAUAAAUACUAAGGGAAUUCUGUGUGGCAAAAUGGAGUAGUUAUUAAAUAGUAUGUGUCAGAUCCUCAGUUUAUCUUAAUACACAAUUUUUACUUUUAUCUCAAGUUUUUGUAGGACACAUCCUUAGUUUUCCUUCUAGCUGCCAUGUAUACUUGAUUUAAUCUUGUAGGACUUCAGUGGUACAAUUCAUAGUAAGGAAGCAUUUGAGAAACCUUGGAUCAUAUCUAAGAGCCUCUAUAUUUGUUUUCCUUUAUUUUCUGGUUGUUGAAUUUUAAAAAAUGAUGGAUAUAUUCUAGACCAGGUGUCAUAGUGAAAUGGUUUGUAUUGGAAACGGCAGCAAAAUACUUGCUUGACUGCCAGGAUUAGUUUUUAAUAUGCAGAGGUACUCAAAUUGUUCCUUACUGAAGUGGUCUAGAACAUUCAAAAAUCACUGUAAGAAAACCAAACACAAUCAGGCUAUUUGCAUCUAAUAUUAUGCAUAAAGUAUUUCCUCUUUUCCUGAAAGUAACCAAUAACAUUUUUUUCUGCUUGUCUGGAAGGACGCACUGACUAAAGAAAUCAUGAGUUAGCAAAUGUGUGUACUUAAGUGUAUAUUUUUUUUCUAGUGUUGCUAAUGAAAUCUUGUGCUGAGUAAUAGAAGUAGUUGUUUCUAUUUUAAAAUCUGUAAAAUGGAUGGUACAGGUGACUUGGGUACCAAACUUUUGGGUACCAAACAAGCCUGUAUGGGUUCGUAGAACUGCUUGUAUAACUGGGGGUUGUAGAACCUAUUCCCCAGGUAAAGCACCUCAUAACACAGGAAAAUGGUAAUGUCUGUUAUAACACUUCCAUGUGUGCUAUACAUUUUAUAAAGUGUUUUCCUUUAUAAAGCACCCUUCUAUUUUUUCAUAUGUCGUUGAAGGUGAUAUUUGGCACUAUUUAUUUUAAGCUAUGGCAUUACAUGUUUCUUUUCUUUAAAAUGAACGUGUUAGGUUUCGAACCAAAAUGUCUGACUAGCUUCCCCUUUAUUUCGGUAGUACUCCAGGAUUAGUGUGCUUCACGAGUGGACUUUGUGCUUUGAAUGACAUCGCAUUACAGUAUGUCUUCUGCCUUGAAAGCUUCCCUGCUGUGCAAUAGCCUAAUAGAAAUAAAGCUACAGAUAGCAACUAUAAUGUAAAAAUAAUGUAAAAAUAAUGUAAAAAUAAUAGUUCUUCUAUGAUAUUUUUCAAACUUUUCUUAUUACAGAUAUAUAUGUUACAGUAGAUGCUACCUGUCUUGUGGACACUUUACUGUAUCCAGUAUUGAAUUAUAGGUGAGUGUUCCUGACUGUAACGAUAGAAAGUACAUUCAAAAAAUGAUUUUCAUACCAUUUGUCAAAAAUUGUAUCUAGAAAUACUACAUCAGAUAUAUUCACAACUAACUCAAGAGUGCUUUUAGAUAAAAUUGAAAUCUAAAAUUACUCUCAAACAAUAUUAAAAAAACUAAAAAUCAUAAAAAUAGAGAAGAGCUCCUAUUUAUGACCUCAGUCUUGUGAGCUCUUGUUUAUAGAUAGCGUUUUUUGUAGAAUUUCAGUAAUUUUGAGUGAACGUUGCAUACUCACAAUGAAUAAAUUGGAAUCAGUAGGGUAUAUAUAUAAAGGAUAUGCUCAGCUCACUUUUUGGACUUUGUAUGUCACUGUUUUGGUAGCACAGACUAAUGUAUUUUUCCCCUCUUCUGUUACAUUUUAAUGAUCCAGCUACCAGUUGUAUAAGCAGGCAGUAGAAGUAGGUGUUCUUUCUGUAAUGAGCAAAAACUUUAAAACCAUGCCAAUACCCAGGAAGAUGAAAUAUGGUAUUAGAUGUGUCUGAGCAGGCUGGUGUUUUAUUCAUGCUCAGGAUCAAGAAAGCCAUAAAGGGUGAAAUUCUUGACAGCCUUGGAAAAGGAACAGGACUUGUUGUGCCAGCGGUUCUCAGAUAGCUCUGAAUGGGACCCAGAAUUGCACUGAUGUUUGUUUUUCAGUUUACCGUCCACCCAGUCUCUGUCUUGGCUGCUGUACAGUGAGAUGAGAACCUCAAUGGCUGGAUUUGAAUGCCAGUGGCAAAUGGUGUGUCACAUACGUGGGGGUUUAGGAACAGGAGGUUGAUGUGAGGGAGAGUCAGUGAAGGCCUUCAGCUCCUGCUUUGCAGAGCACUUACUUAAUCAGGAAGUAAAGGUGCUGAACAGUAGUUUUAAAUCACUGCGGUCCCAUUAUUUUUAAUACUGUUUUAAUAGUCUGAAAUUUCUGCCAUAUCCCCCUCAUCACCUAGUAGCCAAUGCCAGUGCUGGACUUCUGGAUUUCUGAUCUCUGGUUUGGUCUGGGUGAAUAGUUAAACUUUCUGCCAAGAUCACCUAAGGGGGGAAAUACCAAUUCUAGACAUGCCCAGUGAUGUGCUUCUUAUAUUUCUGAGCAUGAUUCAAUGGGGAUUUUUAAGGUUCUUUUUCAAACUUUACUCCCUUCCCUGAGCCGUGCUCUUUUUUUUUCCCCCUAAUUGUCAUAUUCACUACUGUUUGUGUCUUCCCUUGCCUCUGCUUCAUCUUUCCUGGUGUCUCAUCUACCCUCUUCCUGAUCUGAAGUCUUCUCUGACUAGUUUUCCUAGUGGCUGUUCAUUUUUUUUUUUCUUUUUUUCUUUGUGACUUUGCUAAACUCUGCCUAUUCCUGUCUUCUCAAAUUUUAUUCUUCACCAUACGGAAACCCAGUUUUUUUCUUCUGAUAAGUACUUAACUCCAUUGUUCUUCGUUCUGUUUUUCCAGCCUCCACCUUUGAUUUCUGGUUUUAGACAGGCUUUCUCACUGCCUCAAUCAUUCCCAUGACCUUGUCUUUACUAAGUACUGUUUGCUUUAUUAUCUCUCAUUUUAAAAUUCCCUUUCUCUGAUCACUACCUGCUCUCUUUCAGCAUAUCUGUCUUUCUCUCUCCUCUACCCUGUCACUCACUCCUUUUGGGAUCUCCAGUCUAUUAACCUUUCUGACUCCUUUACUCUUCUCAGCUGUCUCCUUCCUUCAUUGGCCUUACCUCCUUUGACUCACUGGUCUUUAUUUUCAUUGCUGUCUGCUUCUCUAUAUGUGGUUUCUUUGGUUGCUUCUCACACUGCUCUGUCUGUUCCUCUCCCCAGACGUCUUGUAAUUUCUUAAUUUCCAAUUCUGCCUUUCUGAAUAUCUUUGAAGAAUGGCAGCACAACAAAGCUUUGGACUCUGCUCUGCUUUACCUGUUUUAAUUCUCCUUCCAGAUGGACUUUGUAACCACUUCCAUUCAGUAUUUUUUCUUUCUCGUUGAGCUUGCUUCCAGGUUUCCUUUUCAUUUUAGUUCUCCAUCCACUUUUGACACAAAAUGUAUCUUCAAACCUUGUUUUUUAUGUGACAAGAUCUAAUUUCUUUGAAAUUGUUCUGCUUUCUCAGAAUCUGUGUCUAAACCAGGCCUCUCUGCCUCUUACCUGAAUGGGUUCUACCCCUUUUCUUUCUGUAUAUUUGGUGCAUUUCUCACUCCUUUCUUGACUGACUUCCUCCUCUUUAAAUCCUCCUCAUUUCCUGUUCUCACACCUCUCAUUGCCUUCACUAGCAACCAAGUUUCUGUUUUCCCCCUGUCCUGAAGUGGGGUAGCACCAGUCAUCUUAACUGGUUUCUGUUUAACAUUGUGCCCUUUAUUUCCCAUUUAGCAGCCCCUCACUUUAUGUACCUGAACAUCCUUCUCCUCUUUUGUUUUCAAGUCUUUUGUUUUACCCCGCAAUUUAAAUGCCCCAAAGAUCCAGUGCUCCCUUCCCCAGUUUGGUUCUUGCGUGCUUCCAUCUCCAGUUGAUUUCUUGAGUAUCCAGGCACAGUCUUAGACCUGUUGAUGCAAAGAUCUCAUUUUUAUUCCCAACUCCCUCCAGACUUUUUCUUACAUCCCUGACAAUUUUACUUGCCUCUCUAUUUUCCAGGGCCACAACCUUUCUCUCUCUCUGACAUGCCUGCCUAUCAGAUGUCUCAAAGUUAGUAAUACCAGAUUCUACCCCUCUUCGCUGUCCAUGUACUUCCUUUUAUCUUCACUGUUUUAACCUCUCUGUCAGUUUUGACUUCUUUUCCUCCCUUCAAAGUACCAAAAUUGACAGGAAUAAACUACUGUCUUUGGGCUUUCGUUGUUUGAUGUGCUGAAGAAGGAACUCCACCAAAUUACUGCUUGUUUUGUGUUUUUAAGGUACUUAAAUUCCACAAAUUUCAUCCUAUUUGAGGACUUCAGAGCUGGAGUAGAUUCUGUUCCUCCAAGCACAUCAAAGGUUCUUGAAUUUGGGCCACAAUUUGAUUUUCUACCCCUUCAGCUACAGUUCUUAUCCUUCAUUUCUUCGUUUAUUUACCUUAUGUAACUUUUCUUGUUCUUUUUCUGCAUUUACAGCUAACAGUUUUCUUGUGUUAAAGCAACUUGAUUGCAAUGCUUGUACCUUUGUUUAAAGUAAGAAUGUUCUUAAGAGUGUCCCUGGCUGGAUUUGGUGUUUGGCGUGACGCUCCUCUUUGUUACUGUUCCACCCCUACAACUGAUUUCUCUCAUUUGUUGCCUUUGCACCUUGCCUAACUGAAGAUACGCUACGUUACACUGCAGGAUAGUGGGCAUAAACUUGAGCCAGCUGCCAACGAGCUAGCUUGUUUGCUGCAUUGUUUUCUGUCUGUGUGCACUGUUUGACUUCCCAGUUUUUACAGGCUUUCAGACUUAGAAGACUUUGCAGAGAUGCACUGGUGAUCACAGUGUCUGACCUUUGAUUGCUGCUGGUUACUUUAUCCUUAUACAUCUAUUGAGAUUGAGAGGCAAAAGCUAUGUUAUGAAUUUUCCAUGAAACUAAGAAGUCAGGAGUUUUUUUGACUGUAGGAUAGAGCUGGAUGUCAGUCAGGUUGUGAAUUUGCACUAGACUAAUUUCUUUGAGAGGAUCAGUUGCCAGUUGGCACAAAGUAAAUUCUUUAAGUGUUUCAUGUUUAUUGUUUGUUGUCAGUUUGUAUAAGUCAUACAAAUGUUGAAUUUGUUCUUCUACAACUGCCUUAAUGAUGCAUGGAGGCCUUAACACCUUUUGUUUGAUAGAAAUCUUCUGUUGAUAUGGAAAUUAAAAAAAUAAGAAAUUAGGUACAUUGAGUUCUUCUGCUUGGUUUCAUUUGCUUUACAUUUAAGUCCUAGCAAUAGAAGUCUCAAACUGGACAGAAGUGGUCCCCAAGACAGAGUAGAGAUGUGCUGGAGUUCCCUGCUUCCUCUCCACCUUCUAGCUGCCUUUAAUAUAUGGUGUUGACAGUUUCUGUACACUUCAUUGGUGGUUGUUUCUUUGAUUCCAGUCACGCUGGACCAUUGUAAAGAUGAUCCUGAAUGAUGAGUAUUGCAUUUACCAGUAUAAGAUUUUGUUGGGAGAUGGGAAGAGGAAAGGUUCAUUGAUUUGUUUGAAUUUGGCUGGUGAUUGUUUGAAGCAUAAAUUGUAGAAGCGUUCGUGUUGGGAGGGGCCUUGGGAGAGGUCUCUAGUCCAUCCUCUUGCUAACAGCAGGGUCAAUGCUGAACUCAGAACAGGGCUUAGGGCUUCAAACAGUUGGAUCUUGAAAACCUCCAGGGAUGGAGAUUGUGCAGCCUCUCUGGGCAGCCUGCUGAAUGCUUAGCUCGCCUCACUGUAAGCCUCAUUUACCUUUUGUUCAGUCAGAAACUUCCCAGGUUCAAAUUAUGGCAGUUGUUUGUUCCCAUACCACUCCUCAAAUGCUCUUUGUAUUAUAAAAAAGGUAAGUCAGAUAUUGCAAUGAAGAACUGAAGAUGUUUUAUUUUCCCAAACUUGUUGCAAACAAAUAAAUAUGUUCUUGUAGUACAUAUGUAUCAUCUAUGUGACAUGUAUGCUAUAUUCAUUUAUUAGAGUGUAAAAUAAAAUUUUUGUCAGUAAAACUUAA